GGACUUUAGAGGUAAUCUAUUCAAGGACAUCAUUUUGUAGUGAGGCAACUGUGUUGUCUCCUGCCCGAGUUCACCCACCUGCUCUUCCUACCAGACCACGUGGGCAGUGCACGGGAACAAAAUCUCUCUAUGAGAUUAUCUCUCCUCUGUUUGUCUCCCUCUCCACCUCUGUGUUCAUAUGCAUAACACACACACACACACACACACACACACACACACACACACACACAUAUUCUUUCCAAAUUUCCUCUUAACAAAGUCUAAAGAAUAAUCAGUUUCUUGCCUCUAUGAUUUUUUUUGACCUCCUCUGAACCCCACACAUUGACGAAGUGCCAGCCAUAGCAAUAGUUUCAGACCCGUGGAGUCAGCUGUGCUGUUGCCAACCUCCAUCACCUGUCCCCCUUUAUCCUGGGCUCUGUUCCUGUGGAUUUGAACAAAUAGAUGAGCGGCAUCGGAAGAAAGCUUUAGCUGCAUGUGUUUGGGUGACCACGAGAGGGCAGCACGUAAGAGACCAGUGUCGGCCCCGCUGCCUUCUUGAACACACCGGAAGCCUCCUAGGAAAACUGCAGAUUUUGUCAGACUGUGAAGUAGAAGAGUCAAAGAGCCUUCAUUGCUUCCUUUUAAAUGACCAGCCUACUAAGGAAUUUAGAAUGCCCAAGUAAGGACUGCUGGUCAGACUGGACUUCAAAAUUCCUGGAUCCUUAAGACCCAAUGCAUCAGACAAAUGUCC
rnacentral:lncRNA from 1 species